UCAUGUUUCAGAUUGAACGCUGGCGGCAGGCCUAACACAUGCAAGUCGAGCGGAAACGACUUAACUGAACCUUCGGGGGACGUUAAGGGCGUCGAGCGGCGGACGGGUGAGUAAUGCCUGGGAAUAUGCCUUGAUGUGGGGGAUAACUAUUGGAAACGAUAGUUAAUACCGCAUAAUGCCCUUGUUUGUAAUGAACAGGAGCCAAAGAGGGGGACCUUCGGGCCUCUCGCGUCAAGAUUAGCCCAGGUGGGAUUAGCUAGUUGGUGAGGUAAAGGCUCACCAAGGCGACGAUCCCUAGCUGGUCUGAGAGGAUGAUCAGCCACACUGGAACUGAGACACGGUCCAGACUCCUACGGGAGGCAGCAGUGGGGAAUAUUGCACAAUGGGCGCAAGCCUGAUGCAGCCAUGCCGCGUGUGUGAAGAAGGCCUUCGGGUUGUAAAGCACUUUCAGUCGUGAGGAAGGUAGUGUAGUUAAUAGCUGCAUUAUUUGACGUUAGCGACAGAAGAAGCACCGGCUAACUCCGUGCCAGCAGCCGCGGUAAUACGGAGGGUGCGAGCGUUAAUCGGAAUUACUGGGCGUAAAGCGCAUGCAGGUGGGUGAUUAAGUCAGAUGUGAAAGCCCGGGGCUCAACCUCGGAACAGCAUUUGAAACUGGUCACCUAGAGUACUGUAGAGGGGGGUAGAAUUUCAGGUGUAGCGGUGAAAUGCGUAGAGAUCUGAAGGAAUACCAGUGGCGAAGGCGGCCCCCUGGACAGAUACUGACACUCAGAUGCGAAAGCGUGGGGAGCAAACAGGAUUAGAUACCCUGGUAGUCCACGCCGUAAACGAUGUCUACUUGGAGGUUGUGGCCUUGAGCCGUGGCUUUCGGAGCUAACGCGUUAAGUAG
rnacentral:rRNA from 1 species